CCUACGUGUGGCAGCAGUGAGGAAUAUUGGUCAAUGGACGAGAGUCUGAACCAGCCAAGUAGCGUGAAGGAUGACUGCCCUAUGGGUUGUAAACUUCUUUUAUAUGGGAAUAAAACGUUCCACGUGUGGGAUUUUGUAUGUACCAUAUGAAUAAGGAUAGGCCAACUCAGUGCCAGGAGCCGCGGUAAUACGGGGGGUCCGAGCGUUAUCCGGAUUUUAUGGGUUUAAAGGGAUAGUAGGGGGAUUGUUAAGGCAGUUGUUAAAGUUUGAGGCUCAACCGGAAAAGUGCAGUUGAAACUGGCAGUCUUGAGUACAGUAGAGGGGGGCGGAAUUCGUGGUGUAGCGGUGAAAUGCUUAGAGAUCACGAAGAACUCCGAUUGCGAAGGCAGUUCACUGGACUGCAACUGAAACUGAGGCUCGAAAGUGUGGGUAUCAAACAGGAUUAGAUACACCAGUAGUC
rnacentral:rRNA from 1 species